AAAGUACCUUACCUCCUUUAGGAAGCCCUGGUCUUCCUUGGUCUGAGGAACUUUCUGAUCUCUUCGGUUCAGCUUUCGCCCUCCCCUGCGCGUACCUUAGGGGUCUGGGAACCUAACCACAGUCAGCAUCCCAGCUUCUUGACACCUAAUCCUUCAGCGCUCAGAGAGCCAAAAUCAGCAACCACUAAAAUGAGGGAAAUGAGAAUAAAACUUGGACUCUCCCUCAGACACUGGAAAAAGGAAGACAGGAAAAGAAAUUUAAAAGUAACAGCAAGAAAUGAGACGAAGAAUGGAAGCUGG
rnacentral:lncRNA from 1 species